GUCCGAGCUGAUGAAGCCUUCGAGAAGCAUAACAUCUCGGCCGAUCCUAUGAUCAAGGAGAAAAAGAAGGUUUCAAGCUCUCAUCGAUCUAAGAGGAUCCCCCAAGGGAUCGACAGCAAUCUAGAACUCUGCCACGACAUCGAAGAUCUAGAACUCCACCUUGGGGCUGACGACCUAAAAGCCCCCAAAGACAGUAUCACCCAUCAUCGAGGCAUCUAUCCCCCCAGAGGAGGUUUACUAACUACACUUCCUUGAAUGUCUCUAAAGUCCAAGUGCUCAU
rnacentral:lncRNA from 1 species